AGUGUUCAUUAAUAUCUUAGUAGAAACAUAGGAGAAGAUUGCAAGCUCUGCAAGCGACAUUAAAGGCAGGGCAUUGAAGAAUAACCGAAGGUUACAGUAGAUUUACAUGGCGGCAACAGUUAACCUACUACUGGGUGGUCAACCAUGGGAGAAGCUCUAUGGAAGGCAAAAACAAGGAUCCAAAAAAAGCCUUCCUUUCUCCAUGCAUGCAUACUCCUAGCAAGGAUUCAAUCUUACCAAGAAACUGAAAAGAGAGAUUCCUAGUACAGCGAUUCUAAUGCAUUUUAGAAAGCCAUUACCAAAAGAAUCUUGUUCUUGAUGAGCUUCCUCUCUUGUUCUGGCCUUUCUUGGAGGACUUCCCUUCUCCUCCUUUCUCCGUCUUGCCGGCUUUCUUGCCGGAGCUCAUCGAGAAUUUGGCACCUUCACUUUGGCCGGACCGGUUGAAGCAUCGGAGGCGAGGGAAUCGUCGUCGUCGCCAUCGCCGUCGUCUUCAUACUCCUUGCGGCUUCCCCGACCGCUGAUGUAGCCAUAGCCAUCAUCAACAUUGCUUCCUUC
rnacentral:sRNA from 1 species